AGAAUUGAAACACCGGUUCCCGUACAAUCAUCGAAGUUAAGCAACGUCGGGACCUGGUCACUACCUUGAUAGGUGACCAUUUGGGAAUACCAGGUUCUGUAA